AUGGAUGGCUCAGCACUUAAGAGCACUGGUUGCUCUUCCAGAGGACCUGGGUUCAAUUCCCACCAUCCAUA
rnacentral:tRNA from 1 species